rnacentral:lncRNA from 1 species
GUCUGAACACCGUUCCUGCACUCUCUCCUUUUAAUGCCCGAAAGUUUUAGAAAGAGGGUCGGCUCAAAAACAGAAAGCAUUUUGAGAGGAUGUCAAGUGGCUUGGGCUGGAGCCCCUGAUAGCCCCCGAGGGAUAUGCAGCCCUGAGGCAGAGCUACGGUCGGAUAUCCCUGAGUUCAACGUGAAACUUUAAUGGAAUCAACUCAAAAUUCUUUUUUCCGUAAAUUUUUAAGCUACAGAAGUGUUUAUGUACAGAACUUGGAAACGAAAGCUAGGGGUAGAAGCAUCUUAGUUGUUC